GAUGAACGCUGGCGGCGUGCCUAAUACAUGCAAGUCGAGCGAACGGACGAGAAGCUUGCUUCUCUGAUGUUAGCGGCGGACGGGUGAGUAACACGUGGAUAACCUACCUAUAAGACUGGGAUAACUUCGGGAAACCGGAGCUAAUACCGGAUAAUAUUUUGAACCGCAUGGUUCAAAAGUUAAAGACGGUCUUGCUGUCACUUAUAGAUGGAUCCGCGUUGCAUUAGCUAGUUGGUAAGGUAACGGCUUACCAAGGCAACGAUGCAUAGCCGACCUGAGAGGGUGAUCGGCCACACUGGAACUGAGACACGGUCCAGACUCCUACGGGAGGCAGCAGUAGGGAAUCUUCCGCAAUGGGCGAAAGCCUGACGGAGCAACGCCGCGUGAGUGAUGAAGGUCUUCGGAUCGUAAAACUCUGUUAUUAGGGAAGAACAUAUGUGUAAGUAACUGUGCACAUCUUGACGGUACCUAAUCAGAAAGCCACGGCUAACUACGUG
rnacentral:rRNA from 1 species